UUGUUGUUUAGUGCCCAUCCU
rnacentral:siRNA from 1 species